rnacentral:misc_RNA from 1 species
GAUGAAGAACGCAGCGAAAUGCGAUAAGUAAUGUGAAUUGCAGAAUUCAGUGAAUCAUCGAAUCUUUGAACGCAUCUUGCGCUCCUUGGUAUUCCUUGGAGCAUGCCUGUUUGAGUAUCAUGAGCAAAUCUCAAAGUCAAUUCCUUUUGUUAAUUCAAUUGGUUUUGCUUUGGACUUGGAGGUCUUGCAGAUUUCACAGUCUGCUCCUCUUAAAUGCAUUAGCUGGAUCUCAGUAAUUAUGCUUGGUUCCACUCGGCGUGAUAAGUAUCACUCGCUGAGGACACUGUUAAAAAGGUGGCCAGGAAAAUACUGAUUGAACCGCUUCUAACGGUCUAUUAAGUUAGACAAUUACCCUUAAGUUUGAUCUCAAAUCAGGUAGGACUACCCGCUGAACUUAAGCAUAUCAAUAAGCGGAGGA